rnacentral:rRNA from 2 species
UUAAGUUAUUAAGGGCGCACGGUGGAUGCCUUGGCACUAGAAGCCGAUGAAGGACGUUACUAACGACGAUAUGCUUUGGGGAGCUGUAAGUAAGCUUUGAUCCAGAGAUUUCCGAAUGGGGAAACCCAGCAUGAGUUAUGUCAUGUUAUCGAUAUGUGAAUACAUAGCAUAUCAGAAGGCACACCCGGAGAACUGAAACAUCUUAGUACCCGGAGGAAGAGAAAGAAAAUUCGAUUCCCUUAGUAGCGGCGAGCGAAACGGGAAGAGCCCAAACCAAAAAGCUUGCUUGUUGGGGUUGUAGGACGCUCUAUACGGAGUUACAAAGGACGACAUUAGACGAAUCAUCUGGAAAGAUGAAUCAAAGAAGGUAAUAAUCCUGUAGUCGAAAAUGUUGUCUCUCUUGAGUGGAUCCUGAGUACGACGGAGCACGUGAAAUUCCGUCGGAAUCUGGGAGGACCAUCUCCUAAGGCUAAAUACUCUCUAGUGACCGAUAGUGAACCAGUACCGUGAGGGAAAGGUGAAAAGCACCCCGGAAGGGGAGUGAAAUAGAACCUGAAACCGUGUGCUUACAAGUAGUCAGAGCCCGUUAAUGGGUGAUGGCGUGCCUUUUGUAGAAUGAACCGGCGAGUUACGAUUUGAUGCAAGGUUAAGCAGUAAAUGUGGAGCCGUAGCGAAAGCGAGUCUGAAUAGGGCGUUUAGUAUUUGGUCGUAGACCCGAAACCAGGUGAUCUACCCUUGGUCAGGUUGAAGUUCAGGUAACACUGAAUGGAGGACCGAACCGACUUACGUUGAAAAGUGAGCGGAUGAACUGAGGGUAGCGGAGAAAUUCCAAUCGAACCUGGAGAUAGCUGGUUCUCUCCGAAAUAGCUUUAGGGCUAGCCUCAAGUGAUGAUUAUUGGAGGUAGAGCACUGUUUGGACGAGGGGCCCCUCUCGGGUUACCGAAUUCAGACAAACUCCGAAUGCCAAUUAAUUUAACUUGGGAGUCAGAACAUGGGUGAUAAGGUCCGUGUUCGAAAGGGAAACAGCCCAGACCACCAGCUAAGGUCCCAAAAUAUAUGUUAAGUGGAAAAGGAUGUGGCGUUGCCCAGACAACUAGGAUGUUGGCUUAGAAGCAGCCAUCAUUUAAAGAGUGCGUAAUAGCUCACUAGUCGAGUGACACUGCGCCGAAAAUGUACCGGGGCUAAACAUAUUACCGAAGCUGUGGAUUGUCCUUUGGACAAUGGUAGGAGAGCGUUCUAAGGGCGUUGAAGCAUGAUCGUAAGGACAUGUGGAGCGCUUAGAAGUGAGAAUGCCGGUGUGAGUAGCGAAAGACGGGUGAGAAUCCCGUCCACCGAUUGACUAAGGUUUCCAGAGGAAGGCUCGUCCGCUCUGGGUUAGUCGGGUCCUAAGCUGAGGCCGACAGGCGUAGGCGAUGGAUAACAGGUUGAUAUUCCUGUACCACCUAUAAUCGUUUUAAUCGAUGGGGGGACGCAGUAGGAUAGGCGAAGCGUGCGAUUGGAUUGCACGUCUAAGCAGUAAGGCUGAGUAUUAGGCAAAUCCGGUACUCGUUAAGGCUGAGCUGUGAUGGGGAGAAGACAUUGAGUCUUCGAGUCGUUGAUUUCACACUGCCGAGAAAAGCCUCUAGAUAGAAAAUAGGUGCCCGUACCGCAAACCGACACAGGUAGUCAAGAUGAGAAUUCUAAGGUGAGCGAGCGAACUCUCGUUAAGGAACUCGGCAAAAUGACCCCGUAACUUCGGGAGAAGGGGUGCUCUUUAGGGUUAACGCCCAGAAGAGCCGCAGUGAAUAGGCCCAAGCGACUGUUUAUCAAAAACACAGGUCUCUGCUAAACCGUAAGGUGAUGUAUAGGGGCUGACGCCUGCCCGGUGCUGGAAGGUUAAGAGGAGUGGUUAGCUUCUGCGAAGCUACGAAUCGAAGCCCCAGUAAACGGCGGCCGUAACUAUAACGGUCCUAAGGUAGCGAAAUUCCUUGUCGGGUAAGUUCCGACCCGCACGAAAGGCGUAACGAUUUGGGCACUGUCUCAACGAGAGACUCGGUGAAAUCAUAGUACCUGUGAAGAUGCAGGUUACCCGCGACAGGACGGAAAGACCCCGUGGAGCUUUACUGUAGCCUGAUAUUGAAAUUCGGCACAGCUUGUACAGGAUAGGUAGGAGCCUUUGAAACGUGAGCGCUAGCUUACGUGGAGGCGCUGGUGGGAUACUACCCUAGCUGUGUUGGCUUUCUAACCCGCACCACUUAUCGUGGUGGGAGACAGUGUCAGGCGGGCAGUUUGACUGGGGCGGUCGCCUCCUAAAAGGUAACGGAGGCGCUCAAAGGUUCCCUCAGAAUGGUUGGAAAUCAUUCAUAGAGUGUAAAGGCAUAAGGGAGCUUGACUGCGAGACCUACAAGUCGAGCAGGGUCGAAAGACGGACUUAGUGAUCCGGUGGUUCCGCAUGGAAGGGCCAUCGCUCAACGGAUAAAAGCUACCCCGGGGAUAACAGGCUUAUCUCCCCCAAGAGUUCACAUCGACGGGGAGGUUUGGCACCUCGAUGUCGGCUCAUCGCAUCCUGGGGCUGUAGUCGGUCCCAAGGGUUGGGCUGUUCGCCCAUUAAAGCGGUACGCGAGCUGGGUUCAGAACGUCGUGAGACAGUUCGGUCCCUAUCCGUCGUGGGCGUAGGAAAUUUGAGAGGAGCUGUCCUUAGUACGAGAGGACCGGGAUGGACAUACCUCUGGUGUACCAGUUGUCGUGCCAACGGCAUAGCUGGGUAGCUAUGUGUGGACGGGAUAAGUGCUGAAAGCAUCUAAGCAUGAAGCCCCCCUCAAGAUGAGAUUUCCCAACUUCGGUUAUAAGAUCCCUCAAAGAUGAUGAGGUUAAUAGGUUCGAGGUGGAAGCAUGGUGACAUGUGGAGCUGACGAAUACUAAUCGAUCGAAGACUUAAUCAA